CACCUCCCAGGUUCAAGCGAUUCUCCUGCCUCAGCCUCCCAAGUAGCUGGGAUUACAGACAUGUGCCACCACGCCCUGUUAAUUUUUGUUUGGUUUUUUUUUUUUUUUUUUUUUUUUUGAGAUGGAGUCUCACUUUGUCGCCCAGGCUGGAAUGCAGUGGCCGGAUCUCGGCUCACUGCAAGCUCCGCCUCCUGGGUUCACGCCAUUCUCCUGCCUCAGCCUCCCGAGUAGUUGGGACUACAGGCGCCCACCACCACACUCAGCUAAUUUUUUGUAUUUUUUUUAGUAGAGACGGGGUUUCACUGUGUUAGCCAGGAUAGUCUCGAUCUCCUGACCUCGUGAUCCGCCCGCCUUGGCCUCCCAAAGUGCUGGGAUUACAGACGUGAGCCACCGCGCCCGGCCAAUUUUUGUAUUUUUAGUAGAGACGGGGUUUCAACAUGUUGGCAAGGCUGGUGUUGAUCUCCCGACCUCAGGUGAUUGUCAGCCUUGGCCUCCCAAAGUGCUGGGAUUACAGGCAUGAGCCACCGCGUCAGGCCAGUGGGCAGCCAGGUGUGCUCCAGGAGGAGGUGGACACCCUGGAAAGACAGUGGGGCCAGGCACCGAACCACCUUUGGAAACAAGUAGGAGCAACAGCGAAGGUUUGCUGGCUCAGAAGCGAAGUCUCGCUGUGUUACCCCGGCUGGAGUGCAGUGGCUACUUACAGGCAUGAUCAUAGCACACUGCAGCCUCGAACUCCUGGACUAAAGCAGUUCUCCUGCCUCAGUCUCCAGAGCAGCUGGGACUGCAGACACGCACCACAGAGCCCAGCCUGAGUCAUUUUGAUUCUGUAACUGGCUCACCCUCCACCCCAAGCUGGAGACGGAAGGAGGAUGCUCACCGUUCAUUCCUCAUGCAGGCCGUCAAUGGAAAUGUCAGACAGUGCGAGUCCAGGCCUGAACACCUCUGGGGUCUGCUCUGGGACUGACACUGGCAGAUCCAUCAGUGAUCUCCCGCCUGCCACCUCUGGGCCUGCAUUGCGGUGAUAGGGCCAAGGGCCUGGGCCUUCAAUUCUCCAGACUUGCCAAAUGCUCAGCGCAGGCCUCAUCGGCAACUGCAGACAAGCAGAGGCAGCACCUGGGCUCUGCCUGUGCCUGGCACAGUGAAGCGAGGGUGGGGGCAGGAAUGAGGGUCCUCUCCGUGCAAGGGGGGAAGAUAGAAGAACAAAAUUUCACCCUAACGUAGUGUCUUUAGACUGUGCAAUGUUAUGCUCCUGUUAGUCUGGUAUCAGGGGCUUGCAGCCUGGCAAAGGAAAAAAAACAGGCUGAGGCACGUGAUAGAAGACAGACAGGGAUGCCACGAUCAUCACCAUGGCAAAGACCAGGAUCAGAAAGGCCCACCGUCUCUGACCCCAAAUCCCUGGGCAGAUGGUUCCAGAACUCAGAAUUUUCCCAGUUGUAGAAAGAUGGGGCCGGGUGCAGUGGCUCACGCCUGUAAUCCCAGCAUUUUGGGAGGACGAGGUGGGCGGAUCACCUGAGGUCAGGAGUUCGAGACCAGCCUGGCCAACAUGGUGAAACCCUGUCUCUACUAAAAAUACAAAAAAAAAAAAAAAAAAAAAAUUAGCCGAGCGUGGCGGUGCAUGCCUGUAAUCUCAGCUACUCAGGAGGCUGAGGCAGGAGAAUUGCUUGAACCCGGGAAGCAGAGGUUGCAGUGAGCCAAGAUCACGCCACUACACUCCAGCCUAGGCGACAGAGCAAGACUCCAUCCCCGCACCCCCCGAGAAAAAGAAAGAAAGAUGAUGUGAUACAUAUCACAUAUUUCCUGACACCCCCAACCAAACACAUUUAUGCAUCUGCGGCAAAGCAGACGAGGAAAGAUUCUAAAUAGGCUCUGAAUCUCAGUUUUCUCAUCUCUACAAUAGGGCAAUGGUGGUAUGCACCUCCCAGGGCUGCUCUGAGAAUCUGAUGCCUCCCAUUGCACUGGUGAGCCUGGCACAGGCACAGGUCCCACCCCAGGCCCUUUGAACUGGCUGUUCCUUUGGCCUGGAACAUUCCUCCCCAGAUACCUCCUGAGAGAGUUCCCUCACUUCCUUCAGGGCACUGCUCAAAUGCUACCUCCUCACAGAGGCUUUCCCUGACCACCCCGUCGUCUCUUUCCUCUUCCUGCAUAGCCUCUGUCACCUGACAUUUUAUGUCAUCAAUUACUCAUUUAUUAAUUUCCUGCUCUCCCACAGUGGCACCCGAGUUCUGUGAGGGCAAGACUUUGUUCGGUUGUGGGCUGUGCCCCCAACCCCUCAGACAGUGCCUGCACAGGUGGGCAUUUUUGUCGGAUGAAGGAUUUUCUGUUAAAUGUGUCCGGCACACACACGCACACACACAAAUAAAGCCCAGCAGGUACGAUGGUGAUUAU